AUUGAACGCUGGCGGCAGGCCUAACACAUGCAAGUCGAACGAGUGGCGGACGGGUGAGUAAUGUCUGGGAAACUGCCUGAUGGAGGGGGAUAACUACUGGAAACGGUAGCUACUACCGCAUACCAUCGGAUGUGCCCAGAUGGGAUUAGCUAGUAGGUGGGGUAACGGCUCACCUAGGCGACGAUCCCUAGCUGGUCUGAGAGGAUGACCAGCCACACUGGAACUGAGACACGGUCCAGACUCCUACGGGAGGCAGCAGUGGGGAAUAUUGGACAAUGGGCGCAAGCCUGAUGCAGCCAUGCCGCGUGUAUGAAGAAGGCCUUCGGGUUGUAAAGUACUUUCAGCGGGGAGGCGUUACUCGCAGAAGAAGCACCGGCUAACUCCGUGCCAGCAGCCGCGGUAAUUC
rnacentral:rRNA from 1 species